rnacentral:rRNA from 1 species
AGUGAAUAGAUACCCGGGUAGUCCACGCCCUAAACGAUGGAUGCUUGUUGUCAGGGGGUUUCCCUUGGUAAACUCAGCUAAACGCAUUAAAGCAUCCCGCCUGGGGAGUACGGUCGCAAGAUUAAAACUCAAAGGAAUAGACGGGGACCCGCACAAGUGGUGGAGCAUGUGGUUUAAUUCGAAAGAUACGCGAAAAACCUUACCCAGGCUUGACAUGUUAGGAAUCUGGUGGAAACAUUGGAGUGCUAGCUUGCUAGAACCUAAACACAGGUGCUGCACGGCUGUCGUCAGCUCGUGUCGUGAGAUGUUGGGUUAAGUCCCGCAACGAGCGCAACCCUCGUUAUUAGUUGCCAGCACUUCGGGUGGGAACUCUAAUAAGACUGCCUGCGCAAGCAGGAGGAAGAUGAGGACGACGUCAAGUCAUCAUGGCCCUUAUGCCUGGGGCGACACACGUGCUACAAUGGAAUGCACAAUGAGACGCAAUACCGCGAGGUGGAGCAAAUCUAUAAAACAUUUCUCAGUUCGGAUU